rnacentral:rRNA from 1 species
UACCGGCAGUUCUAGUGGCAGCCAAUUUUAUUGGGUCUAAAACAUCCGUAGCUUGUUCGUUAAGUUCCCUGUGAAAUCCCACGUCUCAAGCGUGGGGCUUGCGGGGAAUACUGACGAGCUAGAGAUCGGUAGGCGUAAGAAGUACAUUGAAGGUAGUGGUUAAAUACGUUAAUCUUGAAUGGACUAACGAUGAGCGAAGGCAUCUUACGAGGACGAAUCUGACAGUGAGGGAUGAAGGCCAGGGGCGCAAAACGGAUUAGAUACCCUCGUA